rnacentral:lncRNA from 1 species
CCUGGAGCAGUUUCUCCGCCAGAGAUUGAACCCACGCCACAGCAGCGACCCAAGCUGCAGCAGGGGCAACCCGGAUCGUCAACCCCAGAGCCACCAGGCAACUCCUUCACAUCUCUUCUUUUCUCUGCACUUUACAAAUGAGGAAACUGAGGCACAGGGGAAGCAACUCGCCCGGAACCACCGAAGUCAGUACGUGGAAGAACUGGGAUUCACACCGCGCUCUCCCACUGCACGCCGCUGCCGCUGCUGCUGCUGCCUCUGCAGGAUAAAAGGGCACAGCAGAAGGAGAGGAAAUGAGACGGAAUGAGAUAAUCUACGCCACCUCCCACCACUGAGCUAAGUGGAAAGUGGUCGGGGUAAGUUGGAAUGGGCAAGGUUGACCCCACUGGGGUGGGUUGGACUGGGUUGAAUUGGAAGGUUUGGGAUGUCUGCGGCUGAGCUUGACUGGGCUGGUCCGUGUUGACAGAGGUUGGAUUGGGAUGGGUGAUUUGGGCUGGGAGCCACUGUGGGGCUGAUGCUUGGACACUGGUGUCAAGAUUUUUGUGUCCAGUGGUGUGGGAGCGUUACGCGCAGUGGGAGCUGGGAAAUGAUUGGGGAGGAUGACAGUAUUGCUGAGAGUGACACCUCUGUCCGUGCUCCCUCACUGGGCGUCCUCUCCUCCAUCCAGGACCAAGCUUCACCCAAGCCUCCUGUAUCCCCAGGCUCAGGGCAUGGCCGGUGUUCAGCUCCACUCCCCCUGCCUGCCUUCAAAUGAAACUGGUUAGAGCAAGGGGCUUGAGAAAUAAGUUUCCAGCAGAGAAGCCUGUGGGACGUGUUGCCUUGGGGAAAAAUCAAACCCAGAGUCAGGAUGUCAGAGCCAGAUUGUUUCUGCCUGGCCCUUCUGGUGGGGGCACUGUGGGUCCUAUGGAAUUGGGGAGCCACUUCCAGAGUCUCACAGGUGCUGUGUUCACAGAACCAAGGAAAGCAGGUGCUGGCAAGCACACACGUUUCCACACACUCGGAGUCAUGCAUGGGAGCACGGGGCUUUCUGGUUUGCAGUACCUUCUCUCAGAAUUGCACUGCGAGGCACGAGGCGUUAUGUAAUAUUCCAGAAGGAGACCCUCCUGAUCAGGGAUCCCACGCAGCCUGCCCAAGGACACACAGCAGAGCUAGGCUUCAUGCUUCUGUGUUUAUAUGAACAUUGUCUGUCUCCUUGACUAGACUCCAGCCUUCACGAGGUUUGCAGUUUUGCCCGUCUUGCUCAUGGUUGCAGCCCCAGCGUCUAGAAGAGUCCUAGCCCAUAGUAGGUGUCCCACAUACUCAAUAAAUGAUUCAUGCACUUCCUGACCCACUGUCUCAUGGUCAAGGGACAAGAGGUCACUAGACUCUCUUUGGGAUAUGGAGCAGACGGACACCAGGCAAUCCCAUCUGGCGGUUGGCCUUGCCCUUCCAAAAGGGGUCAGGAGAGGGCUCCCAACUAGGGCUCAGCUCAGGUGCACCAGCCUGCUAGGCUUCCUGCUCACCUGGGGCUCAGAACUGGGUCCCCUCCAGUUUGCCCAGACCACCCUGGAACGGAUGGGUUCUUGUCCCCAUUUUGCACACAAAGAAACUGAGGCUCCGGGAGAGGAGAUAUAGAACUUUCCAAGGUCACCGACUAGAGAGUGCAAAGCCUGCAUCAGAAUCAAAGUCUGUGUCACUCUGAGAUCCAAGGGCACUAGAGACAGUAACCCCGAGGCCACCCCUCGGGGGUACAUCUCUCCUGCCUCCCAGGCUCUGCGAAGGGCAGGGCAUGUCCCCUUCUCUCUGCCUCCUGCCUUUGCACUCAGCCUGGGUCAGUGUAGGGUGGGGGGUGGGAGACGUUUCUCGCUGCCUCCGACUGAUAUUGAUGGACCCAGUGACUAUUGUAAAUGCUACGGUGUUGUGUAAUCAGCAGGAAAAUGUGACUCUGUCCCCAGAGAUGCCAAUGGCAUUUUGGAGAAAAUCCCAUCCUUAAUUUUCUGGGCCUGUUCGGUUGAAAUGUCUGGGUGACAGGAACAGGCUGGGGGCUCUGAUACGUGGCCAGGACACUUGCUGCCCCAGCCCCUGCCUAUGGGAAUAGGGGCUGGAAGAGCCUGUAAGGCAGUGCACAGGCAGGUGUGUGUGUUUGUGUGUGUGUGUGUGUGUGUGUGUGUGUGGUUCUGGCUCUGAGGGGACCUGGGCACAGGAGAGCACAGGCGCCAAAGCUCUUGAGUCCUAGUGUGGGUUCAAAUCUCAACUCUGUCCCUUCCUCGGUCUCUCUGUGCUCAUUUCCUCUACAGUAAAAUCAGGACGGGAAAGUGCCCAGCUCACUAGUCUGUUAUGGGAUUGGGGGAGAAGAGGCAGGAAAGCAGCUAGCGUGGCCGAGUCCGGCCCAUGGCCGAUUCACAGGACAUAUUUGUGAAGUGGAUGAAUGCAUGCAUGAGUAAUCAAAUAAAUGUGCAUGGAUGCAUGGAGGAGGGAGCACGGCACGGCGGGAAGAGGAGCGCAUUUGGAGGCAGGAGAGCCACGGUGGAGCCAUGCCUAUCAUUUACUAGCUGAGUGACCUUGGGCAAGUCACUUAACCUCUCUGAGCCUCAGUUAAUAAUCGGGAUAAUCCCAGCCUCUCUGGUUGUUGUGAGGAUAAACGGAAGCGCAGGGUGGAACGACUCUGUCAACGGCCAGGCACUGUGCAAAUGUUAGUUCUAAUUAUUCUCCACAAUUACAACUGCUCCGUGGGAGGUAUGUGUGAGAGUGAGAGCAGGGGAAGGGCUGGGGAGCGGGUGGGCCUGUGACCAGGCUGUGUGUGCAUGUGUAUUGUGUGUGGGUGUGUUUGGAGAACUGGGGCCAUUAGAAAAACCAUCAGCCCUCUAAGUUGUUCUUUCUUUUGCUAAACUCAACCUGCCAGGCUGACAUCGGAAGCAGGAAUUAGUGGGAAGUCUGGGGGGACAGGAUUAGUGGCUGAACUUUCUAUUCCUGGAGACCCUCUUUUCUCAGGAGGUCAAAGCAAUUUCCAUAUAUUAUCCUGCUGGCAGCUUGGGAAGGUCAGGGAAACGGCCAACACGUGACGCUCCUUCCUCAGAUGGAGAAAUCAAGGCAGGAAGGGGGCUGCCGCCAAAGCCACUCCUCCCCAGCCCCUGCUGGAGGCCCCUCCGGAGGGACCCUGCAGCCACCCAGGCCUCCACCCGCCAGACCAGCUGGCAACGAGUCAUUCAUUUGGGUGCUUAUUACAGCCCUGCUGCCCCUGUUCUCAGCCCUGGGCUGUGUGUUUAGGGGAAGAAUGGAACAGGAUCGGCCCCUCCCCCGAGUCCCUGCCUUACUACACAAGCUCCACCUUUCAGCAUCUGGCCAGCUGUUGCCCUACCCCCCCUCUCCCAGUCCCUCGAGUCCAUGCCACCUCUUCCAGGAAGCCUAACUGACUGCCCCCUCUGGCAGAAGGAGAAUUUAUUCUUCUUUGAGCCAUUGGAGUGGCAAUGGGUAAGGAGCUUGGAGGCCUGGCCCCACUGCACCUCUGAUGUCAGGGCGAAACCAGGAUGCCAGGGUGCGCUCUCUGAAACCGAUCAGAAUAAGUUACCCACAAAGGUGGAACUGGUGAGCCUGGGAGCCUCGGGGGAUGUUCUCUGAAGGGCCAGAUCAGUGACUCUCCGAACUGGUCCUCAGACCAGCAGCAUCAGCAUUACCUAGAAACUUGUUAGCAAUGCCAGCUCUAACACCAGACCUGUACCAACACCCCACAGGGAGGGGCAACAAGCUGUGUUUUAGCAAGGCCUCCUUCGAUGCUUCAGAAGACUGAGACGCACUGGCUCACAGGGCACUGUCCCCGUGCACCCACGCGCAGACUUCUAUCCUGCCAACUGGGUCUCAGGAAGCCCCACCUCCUCCGCAUUGGUUUUGCUGCACCCGGAGGAGGGCUCCUGCCCCAGAUACCCCGUCUGAGAGGGCGAAGGGCUACAGCUGCACAGCCCCGUUCCUUCUUAGUUCUAUGGCCCUGCCUCUAAUGCCUCCUGCCACCUUCUACUGUGCCACCACCAGCCGCUCUCGGGACUCCUCCCUCUUCGAGCCUCCUGGGUUUCUGCCUUCAUUUCCCCACCAAGACCUCCCCCCCCCGCCCCCGCCCCCCAUCCCCCUGCCGCCUGCCCAAGCCUCCUUGCCCUCUGUGUCUCUGGGGCAGGGCCUAAACCUUUUCUUAGUGGCUCCAGGAAAGUGGCUUCUGUUUCAGGGCCUGUGUGUGUGUCCCCUCACUCCACGUGAGAGGAGGGGCGCCUCCCAGAACGUGUCUAAGACCUUGGAUAAGGUCACUGGAUUGCAACCAGCACUGCUGCCAGACCCCCGAGGUGCCAGGACCAUGGUCCACCCCAGGAGAGGCACGAUUCCUCCUCUCCCCCUCCCAGCAGGGCCACUCACCAUAGCAGCUGCCACCUCCCCUGAUGAAAGCACCAACUGUGCAAGUACCCACUGCUGUACUCCAUGCCCUGCAAGCCCUAUGAGCCCUGCCGGGGCUCAUGCAUCCGCCCCUCCCCCAACAGUCCUGAAGGGUGCCAUUCUCCCAGUUUACAGAUUCAGCACUGAGGCCCUGACCUGAGAGGUUCUGUGGGUUGCUUGACAUCAGCCAGUACUAGAUUGAAAUUCCAACCCAGAUCUAUCUCCGAAGCAUCUUCCUCUGAGAGACGGAGAAGGCCACCUCUGGAGGGAGAGGCAUUGCCCCGCAGAAAGCAGACGCGGUCGGGGGGCUGGCUCCACUCCUCACCAGUGAGUGGCUGUGCCCUGUCUCCGCUGCCCCAUCUGUACACGGGAAUAAUUCAUGCCUCGCUGACCUCAUUGGAGUCAAUAGAGGAAAAACUGAGUUGGUAUCCAAAUGCUGGGACCGAGUGCGCACCGUGCUUUAGUUUGCGAGGUAUACAGUAUACAAAGUGCAUCCCUGUGUCAUCUCAUGUCACCCUUUCGGCAGCUAAUCAACCUUCUCCUGCACAAUCGCAAACCCAGGAGAAGUCAGCUGAGUCAGAUGCAAGACGGCAGGGGCCGGUCCAGGAGCCGAGUGCACCUCUGACCACGAGCGCAAGGGGGCGCCAUGGGCUCACAGCGCGCCCGGGCGCCGGAGGGACCGGUAGACCUCGACAGCUCUUCGCGUUCUGCGUUCCCUCUGGAAGCUCUGGGGCUUCGCGGAGCGCUGGGAGGUACGUGGGCUCCAGGGGUGUCCAGGAGAGCUGGAGGAGAAUUGUGCAGAGUCUGAACUGGAAAUCUGAAAUCCGGAAAACCAGAGGCCUUUCCCUGCUGUGUGAUCCCCAGUGAGAUCUUCGCCCUCUCUGAGCUUCUUGUAUAAAUACAGAAAUAUACUUCCCUACCCCGCCACUCCAGCCAGGCCCGCCAGAAUCUCCUGAAACCACAAAAUGAGAUGACAGAUUCAGGACAGCAGUGCAAACUGUGAAACCCCAUUCACAGCUGAAGAAUUGGCGCCUUUCUCCUUCGCCUUGGACUCAGCAUCGGAAGCCCCCCAGAACAAGCAUGCAGAAUUCCCGCAUUCCCAUUUCAAGGACGUGCAAACAAAGGUUCAGAGAAGUCGUUCUCUUCUGGGGGGCGGGGGCAGGAGCCGCUGGUCCUGUGGCUUAUUUGGACAGAAGCCGAUUGGUCUCCUGACGCCAGCAUCAGACUCUUCCUUCCCGGUCCAGUAGCCCCAGGGAGCACCAACCUCAGAGGACCCGGUAGGAGCCCUCUGCAGAGAUGAGGAUGCUCAGAAGGAGGUAGAGACCAUCAAAGCGGAAGGAUCCAAAUACUCGGGCCCUCCGGCUCCAGCCCGCUCAGCACAAGGCCCGCAGUGUAGGAAUCACAAUUCUGAUGCUAACUUCUAGCCCUGCCGCACUGCGGUCCCCAGGUUUCCCAGGACUCAGCGCCAGAGGGCCUGUGUCAUGGGGGCUGAGCUCACCCAGACACGGAUGGAGGGGGGACCUCUCCGCCCCCAGCCCUGCCCCCACCUUGCCCGGAGCUGGGUCCCAAAGACCCCCUGCUGGGCCAAAUUGCCAGGGUCAGGCUGGGGGAGGGGUGGCCCGCCUGGUCCCCUCGCCUGCGCCCUCGGCUGCGGCUGUUUGCACACAUGUAAUUAACUCUAAUUAUCCCGGGCUUUUCAAUUCACAGGCUCCGGGCCUGAGAGCGCCGCCGGGAUGAACGCGGCCAGGGCGCCCUCUUCGCCCCGGCCACUGGCUCUAUCUCAGUCCUCAGGGCCUUAGGGCGCCUAUCUGAGCAUCUACACCACCACUGAGCGCCUCCACCACCGCCACGUGCUGGCAUGUGAGUGUCUUUGUGUCCUGCGGCUGUGUCUACACCGCCUGUGCGUUUGAGUACGCCGCUGGUGAAGGGCUGGUGAAGGUUCGGGAGGACCUGGCGCAGCUGGGGAGAGGGCGGGGGCAGCGUGGGGUGAUGGGGGACAGAAUGGUUCUCAGAUGCAAAGGAAGGAAGGCCCUGGCCCCGCUCUUUCCCACCCCGGCCAGUCCUGCAUAAACAUGAGCUCGCUGGGGCAGUGACCCAGGCCGAAAAUGCCAGGAGUUCUGCCAUCAUCGCCCAGCCGCGGUGUCUUGAAUCAAACUCCCUUUCCCGACCCCAAGCCAUUUAGACCCUCUGCCACCCACUGCCCGUUUGGACUGGCCGCCUGCACGCCUCUUCGAGCACAGGUGGCAGAGUCAGGGCUCAGAGAGGCGGAGGCGCUCGCCCUAGGCGGCCCAGCAGGCCCAGGGGCCCCUCUCCAGAGUCCGGCUUGGCUCUGAAACCCAAGGGCUGCGGGGACCAGGGAAGAAACGCUUCCGAUUCCUGGGUCCCCUUGUCUUUGUCGGAUCUCAGACCCCAAGCCCUCAGGAACCCUGGUCCUGUGUCCUCGGUUCGUUGCGCGCCGCGGUUUUUCCAGCCCUCUCCCUGCGGCCAGUUCAGUCUCAUCUACACCGAGGGGAGUGGAAGAGCGGGAGGAAAAGCCCCAAGAGCCUUAGUUGGAGGUGGCGGGAUCCGCCUGGGUCCCCCGCAGCGAGAUUCCUCCGCACAUUCGCCCCGUCCCCAGAGCCCCGCGUUCUCUCUGACCCCAUGUGCGCGUUUCCGGGUGUCUUGCAGUGCCUUUGUCUCUGCCUCUCCUCGGAUCCCAGUCCGUGAAGCACCCCCCACCUCGCCCCCGCAAAGGAACACACACCGGCAGAAUCCGCCUUUUCAAUAAAAAACGACAACUGGGAAACAGAGUGAAUUAAAAAGCAUUAACUUAAAAACAA